rnacentral:misc_RNA from 1 species
GCUAGUCAAUAAUUUCAGAUUACACGGUUACACCUAUAUAAUGUUUUUGUGGCUUCUAGCCGGAUUUUUUCUUCUUUUGUGGAUUUAUUUAAGAAGAAACUAUGGAAAACUUGAAAAGUGUGGUAUGCCUGUUAUACCUCCUUUCCUGUGUUUUGGGAGUGGACCAUGGGCAAUGCAUAAAUAUCAACUAGCAGAGUUGGACAAGGAGAGAGUUGCCAAGUAUGGAAAAGUGUUUGGAGCAUAUAUUUUAAGCCAGCCUAUGGUGUAUUUAGCAGACGCUGAUCUUAUCAAGCAAAUUACUACAAAGGAUUUUGAAAGCUUUCAUGGGCAUCUUUUCAAAUUUGGAGACCAAAAGUUUCGAACCCUGGAUAUGGCAGAUGGGGAGGAAUGGAAAGAAUUGAGAAAAGGUAUGUCACCCAUCUUCACAUCUGGAAAGAUUAAAGGCAUGUUGCAGUAUGUGAACUGUACAUUGGAUAACAUGAUGGAGCACCUGGAGAAGAGAGUUAAAGAAGACCCUGUAAUAGACCUGAAACCUGUGUUCCAAAAGAUGACCAUGGAUGUGAUUGGAAAAUGUGCAUUUGGAAUUGAAAUCAACUGUUUCGAAGGAAACACUGAUCUGCUGCGGCUAGGAAAUGGAGUCUUUGAUGGAUUCAAAGUCAAAAAUGUGAUGGAUGCUUUCUUCAUGAAUAUCUUUUUGGGAUUAUCCGGCAUAGAAAACUAUCUAGAUAUGGUUCCUCCAGAAAUGAAAGAAUUGUAUAAAAUAUUCAAAAAUAUUGAGACUGAGAGAAAAGUACCGAAUGGGGAUUUUAUUGAUAAAAUGGCAGAGAUGAAAAAGCAAGUUCAGAAUGGGGAAUUAAAACAUCUAAGUGAAGAUCAAAUAACAAGUCAAUCCAUAAUUUUUCUUAUUGCUGGAUAUGAAACUAUAGCAAGUACUCUUGGAGCGUUGUGCUAUCAACUCGUGAAAAACACUGAGGUUCUUGAUAAGCUGGUUGCUGAGAUUGAUGAAGUUCUGGAGAAGUUUAAUGGAAAGCUGGAUCAUGAAACUGUUGCUGAGAUGCCAUACCUGGAGGCCUGUAUUAAGGAAACACUCAGGUUUUUUCCUCCAGUAUCAAGAAAUGACAGACUUUGCAACAAAGACUUUGAAUACAAGGGUAUAAAAAUACCAAAGAACAUGUAUUGGAGAGAGAUUUGCUAUGAUUGAGAUGAAAAUGGGAACUGUUCGACUUCUUUCCAAAUAUAUGAUAGAAAUAGACUCUAAAACCAGGUAUCACGUUGACAAAGGAGAGGUUUUCAUGGCUCUCUACACUGACAUGUUCCUCAAAUUAACAGAACGUUGAUUUCCUCAUAAAUGGAACUUUGAUUUUAAACAUGAUUUGUUCUUCACAAUUAGUUUUAAAAUCAAAAUUAUUCAUGACUUCUAUAUGGUUAGUCACAAAGUCCGAGACUUCUGAUCAUUCAGAGACACCUGUACAACAUGUUUUAAGUCGGGAUUAAAUGAUAAACCCUUUGAUUACGCACUUGGGUUUUUCAUUGAAUCCCUCAAGGGAUUAAAUUUCCAUUGGUUCUAAUUUGUGUGAGAGUAAAAAAUACAUUUCUUUGCCAACUUAUAAAAUUGUUAUUAAUAAACUUUAAUAAAGGCUAAAAACCAA